GGAAUCUUCCACAAUGGGCGAAAGCCUGAUGGAGCAACGCCGCGUGUGUGAUGAAGGGUUUCGGAUCGUAAAACUCUGUUGUUAGAGAAGAACAAGGGUGAGAGUAACUGUUCACCCCUUGACGGUAUCUAACCAGAAAGCCACGGCUAACUACGUGCCAG
rnacentral:rRNA from 1 species